UGUGGCAGUUGUCAUUCCAAGAACUACCUUACAACCAGAGACAACUCUUUUACCUGAGUGGUUUGCUGCUGCAUCUUUUGGACUGGUCACAGUGUUUACCUUACUGCUUCGCAAUGUUCCUGAUUUGCAAUCAAAUUUAUUAUCAACUGUUGACAAUCUGAAUUUGUUAAAGGAUGGCCUUCCUGGAGUCCUUGUUACUGCACUUGUUCUGGGGGUACACGAACU